AUUGAACGCUGGCGGCAGGCCUAACACAUGCAAGUCGAGCGAGCGGCGGACGGGUGAUGAAUCUGUGGGAACCUGCCCGCUGGAGGGGGCUAACUACUGGAAACGGUAGCUAAUACCGCAUACCAUCAGCUGUGCCCAGAUGGGCGUAGCUGGUAGGUGGGGUAACGGCUCACCUAGGCGACGAUCCCUAGAUGGUCUGAGAGGAUGACCAGCCACACUGGAACUGAGACACGGCCCAGACUCCUACGGGAGGCAGCAGUGGGGAAUAUUGGACAAUGGGCGAAAGCCUGAUGCAGCCAUCCCGCGUGUGUGAAGAAGGCCUUCGGGUUGUAAAGCACUUUCAGCGGGGAGGCGGUACCCGCAGAAGAAGCACCGGCUAACUACGUGCCAGCAGCCGCGGUAAUUC
rnacentral:rRNA from 1 species